GACGAACGCUGGCGGCGUGCCUAAUACAUGCAAGUAGAACGCUGAAGGAGGAGCUUGCUCUUCUGGAUGAGUUGCGAACGGGUGAGUAACGCGUAGGUAACCUGCCUGGUAGCGGGGGAUAACUAUUGGAAACGAUAGCUAAUACCGCAUAACAGUAGAUGUUGCAUGACAUUUGCUUAAAAGGUGCACUUGCACCACUACCAGAUGGACCUGCGUUGUAUUAGCUAGUUGGUGGGGUAACGGCUCACCAAGGCGACGAUACAUAGCCGACCUGAGAGGGUGAUCGGCCACACUGGGACUGAGACACGGCCCAGACUCCUACGGGAGGCAGCAGUAGGGAAUCUUCGGCAAUGGACGGAAGUCUGACCGAGCAACGCCGCGUGAGUGAAGAAGGUUUUCGGAUCGUAAAGCUCUGUUGUAAGAGAAGAACGAGUGUGAGAGUGGAAAGUUCACACUGUGACGGUAUCUGACCAGAAAGGGACGGCUAACUACGUG
rnacentral:rRNA from 1 species